UCAAUGCCAGGUCCUCAUCUGACUGCAUAUAAUUAAUUCACACGAGAUUAUGAGAAGCACACGACAACCAAAUUUCCUUCGACCAGAGAUAUCUAGGAUAUUAAACAAAAGGAGAAGUUGAAUUCCCCACUAGACUUUAUGCAAGAUAAUCAAAUCCCAAUCUACCCAGCUGCACGUUAAUGAAAGACAGCACUCAAUCCACUCCACUAGCUAACCGAAACAAUUCCAGCUAAAUGUUGGGAAAAACCCCAACG
rnacentral:misc_RNA from 1 species